rnacentral:lncRNA from 1 species
GACAACUCGUAACUCUUGGGCUUGUUUUGCCAUCUGUGGAAUGAAAAUAACGUUUGUCCUGUCCUUGAGGAGUUGUGAGCUUGAAAAGAAAGUUUAUCUCCCUCCCUCGCUUCAUCUCCGCACUCUUCCUUAAAGCCACAUGCCUCAGUGCAGAAGCCUGGCCAUCCGCAGCCUGUGGUGCACCUUCGGGGCCCAUCUGUGCUGGGUGUUUUUCAUUAUUAAGUGACCCUGAUGAGAAUAACCUUGCACGGCUGGGAGCAACUCAGCAUUCUUCUUGGUCACCAAUUUUCCUUCCAAGCCAAUUGCUCAAAGCAACCAAAUACCAAAGUUUUCAUCAGAA